GACGAACGCUGGCGGCGUGCUUAACACAUGCAAGUCGAGCGGAAAGGUCCUGCUUUUGUUGGUUGCACGUGUGGCGAAGGGGGGAGUAACACGCGAGGAACCUGUCCUUGACUUUGUGAUAACUUCUGGAAACAGGGGCUAAUACCGGAGAUGAUCUCCUGCUGCAUAGGGGGGGUUGGAGAGUGUCGGCGGUGGUGGAUGGACUCGCGGGUUAUGAGCUGGUUUGUGGGGUAGUGGCUUACCAAGGCUUUGACGGGUAGCCGGCAUGAGAGGGUGACCGGCGACCUUGGGACUGCGAUAGGGACCAGUAUGCUACGGGACGCAGCAGGGGGGAGUCUUGCAGAAUGAGGGGAAGCGUGAUGCGAAAACGCCGCGUGCGGAAUGACCGCCUUCGGGUUGUAAACAAAUUUGGAAUGAAACGAGGAGUGCGUGACGGUAAUGGGUCAGGAAGCACCGGCUAACUACGUG
rnacentral:rRNA from 1 species